rnacentral:miRNA from 1 species
GAAUUGUUGUUCUCUGAGAGC